CCAUGGAGUGCAAGACAGAGGUUUUAUAGAUGCCCAAAAUAUCUGAUAAGUAUUUUUUCAUGAAAAUACUUUUUGUUUUAAGUAGCCGCUGGUUUGGGUUGAAUCCAAUCAUCUACAGCGUACAACUUUUUUGAAUGGAUCGGCCUCCUCUUUCUGCACGAGCUAGAGAUGUUAUAGUGAGGUAGAGAUUGGAGAUUCUGAAUAUGAAAAAUAAAAUUGAGAGAUUGCAGCA
rnacentral:lncRNA from 1 species